CUAAAAUUGCAAAACUUCCACCCAAGACCCUAUAAAUGAGCCAACACUCCUUCCCUUGGUAAUCCGCCUCCUUUUCUUCACCUCCCGGCCUUUGUGCCUCACCUGGCUCCCUUCAAUAAAGAUCUCCUGCCGGACCUCUCAGUGCCCAUCACCGACCUAUUGAUCUUCCAACCCACACCUUUUUGGGUAAGUUCCCCUUUCUGAGAAGUCCUCAGGGUAGUGGGGACCCCAGACUUCAGACCACCCACAAGGACCACGUCCGGGACAAGGCUGGGG
rnacentral:lncRNA from 1 species